rnacentral:rRNA from 1 species
UUCGCGGCCUAUCAGCUUGUUGGUGAGGUAACGGCUCACCAAGGCGACGACGGGUAGCCGGCCUGAGAGGGCGACCGGCCACACUGGGACUGAGACACGGCCCAGACUCCUACGGGAGGCAGCAGUGGGGAAUAUUGCACAAUGGGCGAAAGCCUGAUGCAGCGACGCCGCGUGAGGGAUGACGGCCUUCGGGUUGUAAACCUCUUUCAGCAGGGAAGAAGCGAAAGUGACGGUACCUGCAGAAGAAGCGCCGGCUAACUACGUGCCAGCAGCCGCGGUAAUACGUAGGGCGCAAGCGUUGUCCGGAAUUAUUGGGCGUAAAGAGCUCGUAGGCGGCUUGUCACGUCGGUUGUGAAAGCCCGGGGCUUAACCCCGGGUCUGCAGUCGAUACGGGCAGGCUAGAGUUCGGUAGGGGAGAUCGGAAUUCCUGGUGUAGCGGUGAAAUGCGCAGAUAUCAGGAGGAACACCGGUGGCGAAGGCGGAUCUCUGGGCCGAUACUGACGCUGAGGAGCGAAAGCGUGGGGAGCGAACAGGAUUAGAUACCCUGGUAGUCCACGCCGUAAACGGUGGGCACUAGGUGUGGGCAACAUUCCACGUUGUCCGUGCCGCAGCUAACGCAUUAAGUGCCCCGCCUGGGGAGUACGGA